AUGUCUCGAAAGACCCUCCGUAGGAGUUUUGAAUGUAAUACGUCAUGUAAACCGAAAGUGGGUAGUGUUAUUAAAAGCUUAUUCUACUAUUUUUUUCUAUGUAUAUACCUUUCUGUAUAUUAAUUUGUACAGCGGAUUAUGUCCUUCAUUACCCACAUUGUAACCUUAAUCCUAGGCUUCCUAUGGGGGAUAGUUAUGUAUUACCUGUACUGGUCGGAGAAAACACAACCUGUUGCCGUUGGGGGUGGCCAAGUUACUAACAUUAUGGAAGCCGAUUCGGACAAUCUGUGCUCAAUUUGUUAUGAAAGGAACAGAAACUUAGCCUUUCAGUGUGGACACACGUCAUGUGAUCAGUGUGCAAAAUCUUUAAAUUACUGUCAUAUAUGUCGCUGUUCAAUUAGAGAAAGGCUACGUCUGUAUCUUUGACAACUUUUUUUAUUAAUCCUUUCCGUAGAUUGUUUUGAGAUCGAUCAUUCUUCGUUAUUUUUCACCUUUUUCAUUACAAGGAAAUCUCGGUUAUAACGAGGUUUUCAUGGUAUCCGCAGGAGACUCUGGACUGUGUUUCUUAUGGAUACAAAGAAUCUCGAUUAUAAGGAAGCAAAUUUUGAAGUCUCAAAGACUUUUCGGCUCAAAGACUUCUCUAUAGCCGAGUUUUACUGUAUAGAUACGCGUAUAUUUGAUUCCAUCCAUUUACCUUGUAUUAAUUGUAAAUAAUUGUAUGAUUUUACAUUCGUUUUCAUUGGAUAAUUUUAUGAUAUUCUACUUUUGUGAUAUUUUCUCCCUCUUUACUAUCUAGAGAAUUGUCUACCCUUAAUAUGCUCUAUAUCCAAAGUUCUUUUUAUAGAGUAAGACCUUUACUGCUGCAAGAAAAUAUAUUGACCCUGUGAAAAAAAGUGUAGACAUGAAUUUCUGAUGAAUCAAUAUUAGUGGAUAUUUCUGUUAUUUUUUACUCAUCAAUAUUCCCCUUCAAUUAUACAACCACAUGCGCAACAAUAAAACAAUAAAGAGGUGAUAUUUUU